UGGGGUGUCGCCAAGCGGUAAGGCACCAGACUCUGACUCUGGCAAUCGUGGGUUCGAAUCCUACCACCCCAGCCA
rnacentral:tRNA from 1 species